rnacentral:ncRNA from 2 species
UUCUUAUCAAGAGAGGUGGAGGGACAGGCCCUAUGAAACCCAACAACCAGCAUUUAUAUUUAAAUGUAGCGGUGUUAAUUCCUGCAGAAUGUGUUUAUUCUGAAAGAUAAGAA